rnacentral:lncRNA from 1 species
UUUAAGUUGCCUUUCCAAUUUUGAGAUAUUCAAUCUUAUACUUUCAUUUCAACUUAUCCGACACCCAGCUAUCUCUGCUAGAAUGAUCUUGUUCGUGGAUGGGGGAUGGACAUGACACUCGGCUAUUGUGCAUAGGUAAAUUACUACCUCACGAGUCAUGAUGGUAUUUUAUAAACUUAUUUAUUGUAACUAAUUAUUUUGUAUGAGCUAACAGUUCGCCGACUAAACCUUUGCACUGUGUAUUAAGCUUAAAUGAUAGCGCAAUGACAAUCAGACAAAGGCGUAAGCUGAGUAAAAGUCAUGUAAUCUUUGUUAUUGAUAAACUUUGGAUCUUAUGUAGGGCGAUCUCUCGAAGAGAGUCAGAGUAGUUGACAGUGAAAACAUUGCUCAUGAGGGAAUCCAGACUUUAAAAAAUAAAAAAAUAAAUAAAUAUAUAUAUCACAUGGGGCUGGGGCCCAUGUGAUGAAAUCCUAAAAUUAGGUUUACUAAUCCUGUUAAAACUUCUAAAUGAUGGGACCAUUGAUUUUUUUGCUUUUAUACGCACUUCGAUUUAUCUAAUGGAUCAAUCUCAUUUUCUUUGCCUAUGUAAUAUUUGAUAUUUGUGCAGGCUUCACACCCCGAGGAGACCGUGAAGGUAUAAUUCCCACUAUGCCUGUUGUUUUUUGUUUCAAUACACUUAUCUGCAUCGUUAAACUAGAGAAAUUAUUGUUAUUUUAAAUGAAAUGAGGCCUAAUUUUAUAUAUAUUUCAUUUGUUAAGUGCAUCUCGAUGACAACAAUGGAAGUUUACAAAAGGAGUGAAAAAUUGGCUAAAAGGGGUUGAAUCCAAAGUUUGGGGACUGAAUUGCAAAGGGUUCAUAGUUGAUUCGGACCCAAUAUCAAUGAUUAUAGAAGUUUCUUUUGAUGGUCAGAGGCAAAUUGAAAGCUAAACAAUGAUUAAUCGAGUGGAAAAAUAAAGAUGUCCCCUACGUUAAUCAGCCUUUAUCUGGCCAACUACUUAUUACUGCGCGGGCUCAUCAAACAACGCUUUUUAGCUUUCUUUAGGAUUCGGCCCAAACCGUCUGGAAUAGAAUCAAACAAAAAGCUGUUAGCAAGGUCCCAAGUAGGCUGUACAUGAAAUAGACGACUAAUCUUUAACUUUUCGAGGAAUCCUUCAUUGGUGGUUGUGAAUGACUGAUUUUUUCAAUGUUUUCGACCUUGGUUCCAUUUUCGAUAUCACUUAUUCAAGCGCCCUGAGAAAUCCCAAGCAAUUCUAUUUUGUUGGAAUUGGAACCUAAAGGAUCAAGAAGACAUCAAAAAGAGUUAAAAUGAAUGAAAAUCGAAGUACAUGGAUCAAAGUGCAACAAUUAGAAGAUUUUAUAACUACGUGCGCACGGGUUUAAAGUGGGGCGCGGGGGACCGUGUCAAACUGGGGCAAAUUUUGGGCGUUCUCAUACUGGGAAAAUUUUGGACCGAACAGCCAAGCUUUUGUGUUUCGACCUAAACUCUAUGUAAGCCAAAUUUAACCUACCAUUUAAACAACAUGGGAUGGCUAGAAUGGCAAGAUACGUUAUCAUAUAUAAUUUUUACCACAAGAAGGAGGCAAGCGGAGGAUUCAAAGGUGAUUAUCACAAAAAAAUUGAAGAUUCAACAUUCGGAUUGAAGAUUAACAAAG